rnacentral:lncRNA from 1 species
UCUCAUGAAUUAUGGAAUACUCAUUUAAGGGGUUUUCCUAAAAGUCACUUUUUCCUUCCCACUGAGGCCAGCCACAGGCAGAAUGAUGAAGUCAGCAAAGUUCAUCUUUGGCAAUUUCAAAUUCCCCUUCUAGAGCCCAUUUCCUACUCCCAAAUACUGUCCCAUGGCUCCCACAAAAGGAAACUUGCCCUCCCCAGUAUACAAGAUUAUCUUCUCAGACUCAGUAACUAUUAAAGAUAGAAGGGACUUAAGUCACAUUUGUAUUGGAGUUUGUAGAUUUACAGGGUGCAAUUAUUGUUGUAACCCAUAUGAGGGAGUCUUAUUCUGAUCCCAGAUUCCAGAUAUUUUGAUCAUUAUAAUCUUCUCCAAACGAAAGCUUAUAAGCCCCCAAUAUUUUACUUUUACCAGUUAGCUAUAGAAAGCACUAGGGACAAUGAAGGAAAAGUGGAUAGAGCACCAGGCCUGGAGUUGGGAGGACAUAGGUUCAAAUCUGACCUCAGAUACUUUCUAACAGUGUGACCCUUGGCAUGUCACAUAACCCUGAUUGCCUAGCCCUUGCCAUUCUUCUGUCUUAGAAUUGAUUUGGAGACAGAAAAUAAGUGUUCUGAAAGAAAAGGAAAAAAAAAACCAGUUUCUAACAAAAACAUUUUAAUUAAACUUACUCUCCCUAAAUACAUAUGUAUUCAGCAGGAAGAAUAGAGCCUUAUUAUAUUUAUGUUCAAGGUUUACAUGCAUGGGAAUAUGUGAAGCGCCACUUAUGGAAGAAUGUACAUCCAGAAACCACACAUAAACAGGAUAUAUUCGUGACAAGACAACCUCCCAAACUGCAAAGCUUUGAGUUGUCUACUGAUGUCAUUGAAAUAUUCUCUGACAAACCUGCUCCCCACAAGAUUGUAUUUUUAUGAAAAUCCAAGAAUUUUGAUUUUGUUCGAGAAAAUAUCUUCAAGAAAGAAGCUUGAAACUCCUAUAUCCAGAAAAUGAAUUGUUGCAGAAAGUCCACACUACAUCAAGAAGAUCAAGAAUGAAUUUUGAAUAUGGUUGAUUGAACUGAACAUUGAUUGAACAUUUAUUGUAAUUGUAUAUAUGUAUGCCAAAAGGGACUGCCCCUAAUUUGGCUUUCUGUCAAUGCGCCUAGCAAAACAUUGGUUUUGCUUUCUUUUCUUUUCUAUUUCCUCCCUCACUGUUCUAAUUCCUCUUAGAAAAUUGAAUAUUGUGUAUAUCUAUAGUUAGAAGUGCAUUUAGGAUUACAAAAUGAUUAUGUUAAAUGAUCAGUGGGGAGACUAGUCUCCCAAUGAUCAUCAGGGGGAAUUGUAAAUCUUGAAAUUUCUCAGACUUAUGAAUGUUAAAAAUUUCCACAUUGGGGAAUUCUCCAUUGGAACAAUUCCCUACUGGGAACAUUCCCCAUUUAAAAUGUGAGAACUCUACUUGGAUAAGAAAUGGGAGGACCUCUACUCCACACAUACUUAAGACUGCUUUAGGGGAGAAAACUCCUUGCUAAACAAUGAAAGUACUUAGACCCAUACUUAUAAUGAGGCAAGGAGUUCUUUGAGCCAUGCCUGUUUUUAGAAUUAAUACAAUGGGGUGCUAAGUACCUAUUAAAGGUCAGGCAACUUGUAAACUUGCCUAGAGCAAAGAGGUGAAAACUUAUUCAGAAGUUUUUUCUGGUACAAACUUACUAAAGGGAUUAGUCGACCCAGCAGUGUUUUUAGAAUGGAUUGUCCUUUGGAAAACAUCUACUGUGAUUGGUAGAUGUAAGGACUUAGGGGAGGUGACAUAGGAGAAAACCCCCUAUAUAAGAAAAAGCAGAAUCUCUUGAAGUGAAGCUCUUGAGAGAGGCUCUGGAGAAGGGAAGCUCUUGGAGGACAAUCUCUAAGGAGGUCUUGCUGGAGCUCCUCUAAGGGGACUCUGUCCCUCUGGAGGCUCUUGAGAGAGGCCCUUUGAAACAGUCUCUGGCUGGAACUCUCUCUGAGGAGACUCUGUCACUAGAAUCCUUGCUUAGACAGACCUUGUGGUGAGUGAUAAAAAACUGACUGACUGAUCUCUCUCUCUCUUAAGACUCAGGUCUAGGCCAUGUUGGCUUAAGGCCCUUCACACUUAUUCCUUUCUUACUCUUUCUCUCUUUCUUUAAUUCCUCAUUGUAUCAUUAAUUAAAUUCUCUAUAAAACCCAGUUGACUUGGGUAUAUUCAUAAUUGGGAAUAUUUCCCUGGUGACCACCUUAUAUUUGAUUUAAAACCAAGACACUGUAGUGAAACAUAUUUUCUGCAGUCACAAAUUUACUCACCCACUCUUAUAUCUACUAUAAUUUAUAUCUUCCACUAUUUUACUCACUACAGUUUACAAUCUCAACCAUUUUAACUCUUUUAAUCACCACAUUUUACGACCAUAACUAUUUUAAAUAUAACAGAUGUAAGCUCUCUUAGGGGUUAUAUAUGUAUCUCCAGUGCUUAGCAGAAUGUUUGUCACAUAGUUGUUGUUCAGCCUUCAGGGUUUGUUUGUUUUUGUUUUUAUUGAAAAUUUUUAUUUAAUAAAUUUAGAAUAUUUUCCCA